rnacentral:tRNA from 1 species
GCGGGUGUAGCUUAAUGGUAAAGCAGCAGCCUUCCAAGCUGAGUACGGCGGUUCGAUUCCGCUCACCCGCUCCA